GUAAACCUAAAAAAAAAAAAAAUAAGGGGUAGAAUUGACCGUAUCAAAUCUUAUUUCUCUCUAGAACGAUAUAACUCUAGCAUCCAAACAGCUAGUUAGAAGCGGAAAAUCUAGAGAAAAGGCACGCCCGCCCUUAAGUGUCUUAUUAGCCUCUCUGCCCUGCUUCAAUCUCCCAAUAUUUCUAUCAAACGACGGCGAAUCAACCGGUCACCUGAAACAACGAGGAUUUCGGACAUUGCGGUGAUUUGUAAUGGAAGCCAGAUUUUUUCGCUUUCUAAAGAUUGUAGGUGUUGGGUACAAAGCCAGAGCUGAAUCAGAAGGCCGUCUCUUAUUUCUCAAACUGGGGUACAGUCAUGAGGUUGAACUUACUGUUCCUCCAGCUGUACGUGUUUUCUGCUUCAAAAACAAUGUAAUUUGCUGCACUGGAAUUGACAAGCAAAGGGUGCACCAGUUUGCCGCUUCUGUCCGUAGUUGCAAGCCUCCAGAAGUUUACAAGGGCAAGGGUAUAAUGUAUAUUGAUGAAGUUAUCAAAAAGAAACAAGGAAAAAAGUCAAAAUGAUGGUGGAUAUGCGAGGUUCUGAUUUGCCAUGUUUUUGCAUCUUUAUCCGGCUUUAUCAGCAAUCUCAUGAUCCGUAAUACUAAAUUGAUUCUUAGCUUAAAAUAGAGCAUCCGUUUGGAACUUCUAGGGAUUUUGAUAAUGUUCUUGCACCUCUAUGUGGCUUUGUUAGCAAUGCCAUAUUAUGUAAAACUAAGUUGAUUCAUUGCUUAAAUUAGAGCAUCUUUUUGGAACUUCUAAGGAUUUUGAUGAGGAGCUUUGCAAUAUUUGAACGCAUAAUCAAUAAAUCACCAGGAGCUGUGUAUCA